UACGAAGGGGGCUAGCGUUGUUCGGAAUCACUGGGCGUAAAGGGCGCGUAGGCGGCUUUAUAAGUCGGGGGUGAAAGCCUGUGGCUCAACCACAGAAUUGCCUUCGAUACUGAAGAGCUUGAGUCCGGGAGAGGUGAGUGGAACUGCGAGUGUAGAGGUGAAAUUCGUAGAUAUUCGCAAGAACACCAGUGGCGAAGGCGGCUCACUGGCCCGGUACUGACGCUGAGGUGCGAAAGCGUGGGGAGCAAACAGG
rnacentral:rRNA from 1 species